rnacentral:rRNA from 1 species
UUACAAUGGAGAGUUUGAUCCUGGCUCAGGAUGAACGCUAGCGGCAGGCCUAAUACAUGCAAGUCGAACGAUACCAAUGGGCUUGCUCAUUGGGAAAGUGGCGCACGGGUGC